GAAAGUAGGCGUAGGCGGUUGCGGACUCCCCAAAAGAGUCUGAGGAAAGUCCGGGCUCCCGAAAGACCGAACUUGCUGGGUAACGCCCAGUGCGGGCGACCGUGAGGAUAGUGCCACAGAAACAUACCGCCGAUGGAGGGAAACAUCACCCCUCACAGGUAAGGGUGCAAAGGUGCGGUAAGAGCGCACCAGCAAUAUCGAGAGGUAUUGGCUCGGUAAACCCCGGUUGGGAGCAAGGUCAAAGGAACCACGGUUGGUCUUUUCCCAGUUCCGCCAUCAAAACGUACCGCUCGAGGCGUCUGGUAACAGGCGUCCCAGAUAGAUAACCGCCCCCCUUUGGCCUCAAAACCAAAGGGGAACAGAACCCGGCUUACUACCGACUUUCUCCC
rnacentral:RNase_P_RNA from 2 species